CGCUUUCCACAUGCGGACACUGAAACAGCGCUUGCGGGAAUCGGUGGAGGAGGAGAGAGGCGAAAGCAAGCGGAGCUGCUGCUGUUGAUGGUGGCAUACUAACGAACCACGGAUCCACCCGGUACUUCACUGCUCAAGCGCAACAACGGCGGCGGCGGACGACACGAGAAAGACACGCGUUACCGAGUCGUCGAAGACCAAACGGCUGACUAGUUUGAGUCCUCAGUGACAGCAGUUCGAUCAAACUUCAGUAUCGUUAGCUAACGAUCGCUGCUUUGCCGGUUGUGCAAUUGCGCGUUGAAUCGGACUCGCCGUUGCUACUUGAGCCGUUAUUGCCCAGCAACGGAGCCCAGCCAACGGCCGCCGUUGAUCCCCGUUGCCGUUUAAAGUUUGUUCCGGCGAUUUGGCUCCUGUUUUUGGAUCUGGGAGCCGCUGAAGGAAACCGGGCGGUUUUUUGAGGAGCUUAAAACGCCGUCCAACGAUGGAGAACGCACACACGAAGACCGUGGAAGAAGUUUACAGCUAUUUCAGCGUCAACGAGAGCACCGGGCUCAGCCUCGACCAGGUCAAGCGGCAGAAGGAGAAGUGGGGACCGAACGAAUUACCAGCAGAAGAAGGAAAAUCACUGUGGGAGCUGGUGGUGGAGCAGUUUGAGGAUCUCCUAGUCAGGAUUCUUCUUCUAGCCGCAUGCAUAUCUUUUGUGCUGGCCUGGUUUGAAGAGGGAGAAGAGACCAUUACGGCUUUUGUGGAGCCUUUUGUAAUAUUGCUAAUUCUUAUAGCCAACGCCAUUGUAGGGGUCUGGCAAGAGAGAAAUGCAGAAAAUGCCAUCGAGGCCCUCAAGGAGUAUGAGCCCGAGAUGGGCAAAGUCUAUCGGCAGGACAGGAAGAGUGUGCAGAGGAUCAAAGCCAGAGACAUCGUGCCUGGGGACAUUGUGGAAGUCGCGGUGGGUGACAAAGUUCCUGCAGAUAUCCGCCUGACUUCAAUCAAAUCCACCACACUAAGAGUGGACCAGUCCAUUCUGACAGGGGAGUCUGUAUCGGUCAUCAAACAUACGGACCCAGUCCCGGACCCACGCGCCGUUAACCAGGACAAAAAGAACAUGCUGUUCUCUGGCACAAACAUUGCGGCCGGUAAGGCCGUGGGCGUGGUGGUGGCCACGGGCGUGAAUACUGAGAUCGGGAAGAUCCGUGACGAGAUGGCGUCCACGGAGCAGGAGCGCACUCCACUGCAGCAGAAGCUGGACGAGUUCGGAGAGCAGCUUUCCAAGGUCAUCUCCCUCAUCUGCAUUGCUGUGUGGAUUAUCAACAUCGGCCACUUCAACGACCCCGUUCACGGUGGCUCCUGGAUUCGCGGAGCCGUCUACUACUUUAAGAUCGCAGUUGCGCUGGCAGUAGCUGCCAUCCCCGAGGGGCUCCCAGCGGUCAUCACCACCUGCCUGGCUCUAGGCACCCGACGUAUGGCCAAGAAGAACGCCAUCGUUCGCUCCCUGCCCUCUGUGGAGACGCUGGGCUGCACCUCGGUCAUCUGCUCGGACAAGACUGGCACCCUGACAACCAACCAGAUGUCAGUUUGCAGGAUGUUCAUAGUUGACCAAGUGGACGGAGACAGCUGCUCGCUCAGAGAGUUCACCGUUACUGGUUCCACAUACGCACCUGAAGGAGAAGUGCACCAGGAUGGUAAACCAGUGAAAUGUUCCAAGUAUGAUGCUCUUGUUGAGAUGGCAACGAUCUGUGCGCUGUGCAAUGACUCAUCGUUGGACUAUAAUGAGGCCAAAGGAGUCUAUGAGAAGGUUGGAGAGGCAACGGAAACCGCACUCUCAUGCCUAGUGGAGAAGAUGAAUGUGUUUGACACUGAUCUCAAAGGCCUUUCCAAGAUUGAACGGGCCAAUGCCUGUAACUCUGUAAUUAAGCAGCUGAUGAAGAAAGAGUUCACACUGGAGUUCUCGCGGGACAGGAAGUCCAUGUCCGUGUACUGCACCCCCAACAAAGCCCGAUGCUCCAUUGGCAAGAUGUUUGUCAAGGGUGCUCCAGAAGGAGUGAUCGACAGGUGUACACACAUCCGUGUGGGCAGUAAUAAGGUUCUGCUGACGCCAGGUAUUAAGGAGAAGCUCAUGUCUGUGAUCCGCGAAUACGGGACAGGGAGGGAUACGCUGAGGUGCCUGGCGCUGGCGACACGGGACAACCCCAUCAGCAAAGAGGACCUGGUGCUGGAGGACUCAGCCCGCUUUGUGGAGUACGAGACUGAUCUGACCUUUGUGGGCUGCGUGGGCAUGCUGGACCCCCCUAGGGCCGAGGUGGCUGCCUCCAUGAAGCUGUGUCGUCUGGCAGGCAUCAGGGUUAUCAUGAUCACUGGUGAUAACAAGGGAACAGCUGUCGCCAUCUGCAGGCGCAUUGGCAUCUUUGGCGAGGAUGACGACGUCUCAUGCAUGGCCUUCACAGGCCGCGAGUUUGAUGACCUGACGCCUGCCGCCCAGCGAGAGGCUGUGCUUAGUGCCCGCUGCUUUGCCCGUGUCGAACCUUCACACAAAUCCAAGAUUGUGGAGUACCUGCAGUCCUAUGACGAGAUCACUGCCAUGACCGGUGAUGGUGUGAACGACGCCCCUGCUCUGAAGAAGGCUGAGAUCGGCAUUGCCAUGGGCUCUGGAACGGCUGUGGCCAAAACGGCCUCCGAGAUGGUGCUGGCUGACGAUAACUUUGCCACCAUUGUGGCGGCGGUGGAGGAGGGCCGAGCCAUCUACAACAACAUGAAGCAGUUCAUCCGCUACCUCAUCUCUUCUAAUGUUGGAGAAGUGGUCUGCAUUUUCUUGACUGCAGCGUUGGGCUUCCCUGAGGCUCUGAUCCCGGUGCAGCUCCUGUGGGUGAACCUGGUGACGGACGGCCUGCCCGCUACCGCCCUGGGCUUCAACCCACCUGAUCUGGACAUCAUGAACAAGCCUCCUCGCAACGCCCGCGAGCCCCUCAUCUCUGGCUGGCUCUUUUUCAGAUACCUGGCCAUUGGCUGCUAUGUUGGCACAGCCACAGUUGGUGCUGCUGCCUGGUGGUUUGUUGCUGCUGAAGACGGGCCGAGAGUCACCUUCUACCAGCUGAGUCACUUCCUCCAGUGUGCACCUGAAAACCCUGAGUAUGAAGGCGUUAACUGCGAGGUGUUUGAGUCGCCAUACCCCAUGACCAUGGCUCUGUCUGUGCUGGUCACCAUUGAGAUGUGCAACGCCCUCAACAGUGUGUCUGAGAACCAGUCUCUGCUGCGUAUGCCCCCCUGGGAGAACGUGUGGCUGCUGGGUGCCAUCUGCCUCUCCAUGUCCCUCCACUUCCUCAUCCUCUACGUGGAGCCUCUCCCGAUGAUCUUUCAGAUCACCCCGCUGAACGUGACCCAGUGGCUGACGGUGCUGAAGAUUUCCCUGCCGGUCAUCCUGCUGGACGAGGUGCUCAAGUUUGUAGCCAGGACCUACGUGGAGCCCGGUAAAGAGCUGGACAAGCCUGCGGGCAAGGCCUGCUCGCUCAGCGCCUGGACAGAGGGCAUCUCCUGGCCCUUUGUGGCUCUUACACUCCCACUGGUGCUUUGGAUCUACAGCACCGACACUAACCUGGCUGAAAUGUUCUGGUCCUGACUCAUAUGAGCGCAACCCCACCCCUCACCCUCACCCUGUGUGUAGAUAGAGAGAACCUGUGAGUGCGUGUGAGUGCAAGUGUGCCUGUGCACCAGUGAAUGUGCACGACGAGGACAGAGUUAACACGAACAUAACAAUAAUAUAAAAAUGUAACUGUUCUUUUUAAAAACAAAUGUCUAGUGGGUUAUGGAGGGGACCACAUAGAGCUGAAGUCUUUAAGUAUUAGUGACAGAUGUUGUUGUUGUUGAUAUUAUUAUUACCACCACUGCUGGUUUGGUCUUGUUUCUUGCCUUUUUUUUAAUAUUUAAUAAUUUGGAAGCAUCAUCUAUCUUAAUUUCUGAGGUAUCAUUUCAAACUGAAUACUAAUUGUUUGUUUUUUUUUGGUCCUCCCAUUGAGUGCAUGACGAAAAGCUCUGAUUAUGUGUACAGAGGUUGAACACUAUUUUAUACAGGUCGUGUCGUUGGUCCUAUUUCGAGUUCUCCAUCGGUCAGAGAGAGCUGGAGCAACAGGCAGGCUACGUCUAGGCAGCCGUUUAGAUCAGAUUUCUUUUUCCCACUCCCCACCAGAUUCGAUGCAUAUCAGAGAUUUUCCUUAAAGCCAUAAUGUACGAAGUCCAGACCGGAACCAGUUUGACUACGUUUGUAGGCAUUUCUGCAACUUACCCCGCCAUCAGGUAGCUUGUCUAAACGCACAUCUGUCGGAAAAGCCAUGGAAGUGAACAGAGCAUCCCAGGCAGCUGCCUAAACGUAGCCAGAAAGGUCUGGAAAGAGUCGUUUACUUACGUUUACCAUUGUCUUUAGUUUGAAUGUUAAACUCUUUCAGAGCCAGUGGACAAGGGCGGAUUGGGACGGGAGCAUGGGCCAAGGGGGUGGGGAGCGAAUGUUCGUAUGCAUCAACUAAAUCAGAUCCCGAGAGCUGCAUGUUCUGUAACCUUGCAUGCGUUACAUGUGGGUUUCAUUCAUGAUUUGUCCGUCUUCCCCUUUGUACAAUAGCAACCUUGGUGUUCCUUUUUCUUUUCUUUUCUUUUUUUAUUUUAUUACCGUAAACAAAUUAGUAAAGCCAGUUUUUCUGCACUAGGCAGAGCACAGCUACCUCAAUACAGUCUGAUUUAGUUUCUCUCUGGUUACACCCCCCCCCCCCCACCCUUCCCCCCCCCCUCCCCACACACACACACACACACACACACACACACACACACUUAGCUUUCCACAGUAUGAUGUUAUUGCGUUGAGGUGUGCCCCAUUGGCUUGUGCAGAAAAAGCAAUCAUCUUCAUAUCCUCUGAUUUACUUUUUAAGGAUUUGUUUUUUCCCCCUCCUUUAUAUUUUAUAAUUGAUUUGUAUUAACUUAAUUUAGGCUAUUUUUCAAGGUGGGGUGGGUGACGCGCGGAUGUAAACGUUACCAUCAGCGGAUCAGGGCUGGAGACGAGAGGUUAACACCAUAGGUUUAAGUAUUUGCAUUUAGGACAUGAAUUUUAUGAUGCAAAACCAAAAUGUUUCACUUUUUUGUUUUUGUUUUGUUUUUCUACUUCAACAAAAGAAAUACACUCUCAUGGACCAUUUGAAUUAAAAACAUUGCGUGUCUCUUCAUUUUAUGGUAAUGUUAUUUCUUUUUUAAGAGGAUAUAUGUAGAGUUUCAGGAGCAAAUAUACUUGAAUACAGAAAUUGAUGUACAUGAAGUUGGCGAACGAGCAGGUGAGCACAGGCGGAAGAGCUUCCUCAGGCCUGUGCUACUGCGGGGGCCUGUCUGUCUGUACACAGCACAAUGGUAUCAAAUGUACAUUUUCUACUAUAGGAAAAAAAAGCUAUAUCGGUCAUCACCCUAAUCCUCGCUUGCUGAAAUCUGUGCUUAGAUGCCCGGUGAAGCAUGUUGUCGUGCCAUGUGAGUGGCACUGCCAGUGUUGGUAUCUAACACAACUCUGCUUUUCCCUCUCUAUGCCUUCAAAUGGGCCUCCCCUUAACCGACUUGCGCCUUGUAAGAUGUGCCCCUCUCCCUUCAGCUUGUUCUGGGGAAAACCGCAGGCUUCUUCUCGUGCAUGUGUUUUUGAGUGGCAUUCCCUUCUCCAUAUCAUACGCUGCAUGAUCCAUGUGCAGACCAGGGAAGACGAGCAGUCCUUGCACUGAUGGAACAAAUGUUUAAAAAAAAAAAUAUUAUUAAUAAAAAAAGGCUUGGCUGAGUGUGAUGGACACUGAAUGAACUACAGUGGCCGCUGGUGGCGCCGUAGGAGCAGGAGAAGACUGUGCUGGUCAGCGUGUGAGUGUGUGUGUGUGUGUGUGUGUGUGUGUGUGUGUGCUGUGUGAGGUUAGGGUCCUCUACUUUGCAUGAAGACAAAAAAAAGCUGAUUUGCAAGCAGAGAUUGUAAGAAGAUUUUGGUUUUCUUUCUUUUUUUAAACGGUGUAAAAUGUCAUAGUUUUCUAUACAGUAUAUAUAUAUGUAUAAUAUAUAGUACAAUGCAUGCCUUCAGUUGUAAGUAGCCAAACAAUUUUAUCUAUAUUUAUAUAGUAAUUUGCUGUGUACAUUGCUGCUCAAUGCUAUGACAUGAACAUCAUUUUACAAAUAAACUCACCAGUUUGAUUUUA